rnacentral:rRNA from 1 species
CGCGUAGGCGGCAUUGUAAGUGUCGGGUGAAAUCCCACGGCUCACCCGUGGAACUGCCCGGCAGACUGCAGUGCUAGAGUAUGGUAGGGGAGAGCGGAACUCCUGGUGGAGCGGUGAAAUGCGUAGAUAUCAGGAGGAACACCGGUGGCGAAGGCGGCUCUCUGGUCCAUAACUGACGCUGAGGUGCGAAAGCUAGGGUAGCGAACG